rnacentral:rRNA from 1 species
GAUCAUGGCUCAGGAUGGACGCUGGCGGCGUGCCUAAUACAUGCAAGUAGGACGCUGAAGCUUGGUGCUUGCACCGAGCGGAUGAGUUGCGAACGGGUGAGUAACGCGUAGGUAACCUGCCUCUUAGCGGGGGAUAACUAUUGGAAACGAUAGCUAAUACCGCAUAAAAGUCGACAUUGCAUGAUGUUGACUUGAAAGGUGCAAUUGCAUCACUAAGAUAUGG